CCAACUGAUGCUGAGGUAGAAAUUGAAUGUCGGCGCCCCCUAAUCCUCCUCUGCGGACUCUUGCGAGGAUGUCUCUUCAGUCUCCUGCAACACACGGAAGGCAGGUUGUCUGUCAUGUAAACAGCCUCGAAAACCACCCUUGAAGUUUCUGUGAAAACAUUCAACAUCUUGGAAGGGGUGAGCGCCACAGGACAACGGGGUUUCCCAGGAUUCCCUCGCCCCUGCGCCACACCACACGUGGAAGAUCCCCACAGGAUGAAGAUGCUGGCCUUCUCUACGGAUGCUGUACAGGGUAUCUGACAUGAAGCCCUCUGUGAAUGAGUCAUUUGACAGCCCCACCACCACCACCACCACCACCACCACCACCAAGGAGUCAAGACCCACUAAGCCAGAGGACGAAAACAAACAAGCAAGCAAGCAACACUAACACACUCUUCCUUCAUGCUGAGCAAAUUUCCCUGUCAGGCAUUACCUGCUUUACCUUACGGUGAGAUGGCUCUCCUGGCUCGUCUGAGCUAUCCCUGGAAACUGCUGAGUGCAUUCACUUGGUCACGGACUGAAG
ensembl:processed_transcript 1700006J14Rik RIKEN cDNA 1700006J14 gene